AACGAACGCUGGCGGCAUGCCUAACACAUGCAAGUCGAACGAGACCUUCGGGUCUAGUGGCGCACGGGUGCGUAACGCGUGGGAACCUGCCCUUAGGUUCGGAAUAACUCCCCGAAAGGGGUGCUAAUACCGGAUAAUGUCUUCGGACCAAAGAUUUAUCGCCUUUGGAUGGGCCCGCGUUGGAUUAGCUAGUUGGUAGGGUAAAAGCCUACCAAGGCGACGAUCCAUAGCUGGUCUGAGAGGAUGAUCAGCCACACUGGGACUGAGACACGGCCCAGACUCCUACGGGAGGCAGCAGUGGGGAAUAGUGGAAAAUGGGCGAAAGCAUGAUCCAGCAAUGCCGCGUGAGUGAUGAAGGCCUUAGGGCUGUAAAGCUCUUUUAACCGGGAUGAUAAUGACAGUACCGGGAGAAUAAGCUCCGGCUAACUACGUG
rnacentral:rRNA from 1 species